rnacentral:rRNA from 1 species
GUUACCGGGAGAAGACCACAGGGAUUGCCCUAGUAACGGCGAGUGAAGCGGCAACAGCUCAAAUUUGAAAUCUGGCUCUCGGGCCCGAGUUGUAAUUUGUAGAGGAUGCUUUUGGUGCGGUGCCUUCCGAGUUCCCUGGAACGGGACGCCAUAGAGGGUGAGAGCCCCGUCUGGUUGGAUGCCAAUCCUCUGUAAAGCUCCUUCGACGAGUCGAGUAGUUUGGGAAUGCUGCUCUAAAUGGGAGGUAUAUGUCUUCUAAAGCUAAAUACCGGCCAGAGACCGAUAGCGCACAAGUAGAGUGAUCGAAAGAUGAAAAGCACUUUGAAAAGAGAGUUAAAAAGUACGUGAAAUUGUUGAAAGGGAAGCGUUUAUGACCAGACUUGGGCUUGGUUAAUCAUCCAGGGUUCUCCCUGGUGCACUUUUCCAGUCCAGGCCAGCAUCAGUUUGCUUCGGGGGAUAAAGGCUUCGGGAAUGUGGCUCCUCUCGGGGAGUGUUAUAGCCCGUUGCGUAAUACCCUGAGGCGGACUGAGGUACGCGCUUCUGCAAGGAUGCUGGCGUAAUGGUCAUCAACGACCCGUCUUGAAACACGGACCAAGGAGUCGUCUUCGUAUGCGAGUGUUCGGGUGUCAAACCCCUACGCGUAAUGAAAGUGAACGCAGGUGAGAGCUUCGGCGCAUCAUCGACCGAUCCUGAUGUUCUCGGAUGGAUUUGAGUAAGAGCAUACGGGGCCGGACCCGAAAGAAGGUGAACUAUGCUUGUAUAGGGUGAAGCCAGAGGAAACUCUGGUGGAGGCUCGCAGCGGUUCUGACGUGCAAAUCGAUCGUCAAAUAUGAGCAUGGGGCGAAAGACUAAUCGAACUUUCAAGUGGC